CCGCAGACUUGGCAUUGUUCUGAUGUCGCGUGUACAAGAAAGACGUACAGACGGAUGAAUCUCAAUUUGGCAAUUGAGAAAAUUGAUUAAAAAGACUAAUAAAAAAAACGAAGUGACUUGAUUUCAACUUGAAUUAACUUUUUUCUGUGAAAGAAGGAAUUAAACAAUAUUAUACAAGAUGAGGCAAACAUUGUGGACCGUCAUCUGUUUAAUGUUAAUCUUUGACAACGCUGCGAUAUCGUUCUCCAGCAAGUUCACCAAACUUGUAACUUCGAAACAAGAAAACAAAGACUAUGUAUUUUCUCCGUACUCUAGACUAUUUGUAGACAGAGAUUUAUGGAAUCAAAACAGGAUUAGCAUUCAACGGAACAAAAGUUAUUUUAAAUUUUUUCAACAUAAGACUUUAUUUUAAAUAAUAUAAAGAAACUGUUAUAGUUAUUCUUACAAUUAUGAUUACACAGAAAAGUGUACUCUUGAUAAUAAAAGCUUCUAUUGUGAAAAGUUA